GACGAACGCUGGCGGCGUGCCUAAUACAUGCAAGUUGAGCGCUGAAGGUUGGUACUUGUACCAACUGGAUGAGCAGCGAACGGGUGAGUAACGCGUGGGGAAUCUGCCUUUGAGCGGGGGACAACAUUUGGAAACGAAUGCUAAUACCGCAUAAAAACUUUAAACACAAGUUUUAAGUUUGAAAGAUGCAAUUGCAUCACUCAAAGAUGAUCCCGCGUUGUAUUAGCUAGUUGGUGAGGUAAAGGCUCACCAAGGCGAUGAUACAUAGCCGACCUGAGAGGGUGAUCGGCCGCAUUGGGACUGAGACACGGCCCAAACUCCUACGGGAGGCAGCAGUAGGGAAUCUUCGGCAAUGGACGAAAGUCUGACCGAGCAACGCCGCGUGAGUGAAGAAGGUUUUCGGAUCGUAAAACUCUGUUGGUAGGGAAGAACGUUGGUGAGAGUGGAAAGCUCAUCAAGUGACGGUAACUACCCAGAAAGGGACGGCUAACUACGUG
rnacentral:rRNA from 1 species